rnacentral:rRNA from 1 species
GAAGACCCUUUACCGGAUUAGCUGAGAGGUUGGUGCAUGGCCGUCGUCAGUUCGUACUGUGAAGCAUCCUGUUAAGUCAGGCAACGAGCGAGACCCACGUCCACAGUUGCCAGCAUUACCCUCCGGGGUGAUGGGUACACUGUGGAGACCGCCGCUGCUAAAGCGGAGGAAGGAAUGAGCAACGGUAGGUCAGCAUGCCCCGAAUUAUCCGGGCUACACGCGGGCUACAAUGGUCAGGACAAUGGGUAUCGACACCGAGAGGUGGAGGCAAUCUCCUAAACCUGUCCUUAGUUCGGAUUGUGGGCUGCAACUCGCCCACAUGAAGCUGGAAUCCGUAGUAAUCGCGUUUCAAAAUAGCGCGGUGAAUAUGUCCCUGCUCCUU